rnacentral:tRNA from 1 species
GGGGCUAUGGCUCAGUGGCAAAAUGUACAUGUUUGAAAUGUAGAAGGUCCCAGGUUCAAUUCCUGUCAUCUCCA